UACGUAGGGUGCAAGCGUUGUCCGGAAUUAUUGGGCGUAAAGAGCUCGUAGGCGGUCUGUCGCGUCUGCUGUGAAAACUCAGGGCUUAACCCUGAGCUUGCAGUGGGUACGGGCAGACUAGAGUGCGGUAGGGGAGACUGGAAUUCCUGGUGUAGCGGUGAAAUGCGCAGAUAUCAGGAGGAACACCGGUGGCGAAGGCGGGUCUCUGGGCAACAACUGACGCUGAGGAGCGAAAGCGUGGGGAGCGAACGGG
rnacentral:rRNA from 1 species